rnacentral:rRNA from 1 species
CCUACGGGAGGCAGCAGUGGGGAAUAUUGGACAAAGGGGGGAACCCUGAUCCAGCCAUGCCGCGUGUGUGAAGAAGGCCCUCGGGUUGUAAAGCACUUUCAGUGAGGAAGAACGCCUGGUGGUUAAUACCCAUCAGGAAAGACAUCACUCACAGAAGAAGCACCGACUAACUCCGUGCCAGCAGCCGCGGUAAUACGGAGGGUGCGAGCGUUAAUCGGAAUUACUGGGCGUAAAGCGCGCGUAGGUGGCUUGAUAAGCCGGUUGUGAAAGCCCCGGGCUCAACCUGGGAACGGCAUCCGGAACUGUCAAGCUAGAGUGCAGGAGAGGAAGGUAGAAUUCCCGGUGUAGCGGUGAAAUGCGUAGAGAUCGGGAGGAAUACCAGUGGCGAAGGCGGCCUUCUGGACUGACACUGACACUGAGGUGCGAAAGCGUGGGUAGCAAACAGGAUUAGAUACCCCAGUAGUC